AACGAACGCUGGCGGCAGGCUUAACACAUGCAAGUCGAGCGCCCCGCAAGGGGAGCGGCAGACGGGUGAGUAACGCGUGGGAAUCUACCCAUCUCUACGGAAUAACGCAUGGAAACGUGUGCUAAUACCGUAUACGUCCUUCGGGAGAAAGAUUUAUCGGAGAUGGAUGAGCCCGCGUUGGAUUAGCUAGUUGGUGGGGUAAAGGCCUACCAAGGCGACGAUCCGUAGCUGGUCUGAGAGGAUGAUCAGCCACACUGGGACUGAGACACGGCCCAGACUCCUACGGGAGGCAGCAGUGGGGAAUAUUGGACAAUGGGCGCAGGCCUGAUCCAGCCAUGCCGCGUGAGUGAUGAAGGCCCUAGGGUUGUAAAGCUCUUUCACCGGUGAAGAUAAUGACGGUAACCGGAGAAGAAGCCCCGGCUAACUUCGUGCCAGCCGCCGCCGUAAUAC
rnacentral:rRNA from 1 species